UUCUUGUUAAUUCCAUGGAAAGAGCAGCAUUGCAGUGAUACAAAUUAAUGCCUCACAUCAUUACAGAUAAUUUAUAAAAGACAUUCCAUUUGAUAGUCUAAAUCAUACAUUAAAAUUGGUUCGACCAAACAUAACACAACCUUGUUUCCGAUCCCAAAAGACAACCACCGAGUAAAAGUUAAAUGUGAUGUAAAACUGAACUCCAUGACUGCAGUACAGGCAGAUGCCAUGCCAUCUGCUAAUCGAAAUCAUACAUAGAAACUGGUUCUGCCUAACAUAUAGGAUAACCUUAUUUAUGAUCCCAAAAGAUAACAGAUGAAACUAAACUCCUUCUGACUAGCACAAUUUCACACACAGAAUGUGCAAGAAUCAGCAGGUAGAGGAGCAUCUCUCUGGAAGUUAGGGGCUAACGACCUAACUACAGCUCUCUACCCAAGAUAUUAACAUCGUUGAUUAAUAAAUCCUGCAGUCAGAAAAUAAGUUUAGUUAGAUGCAACCUUAUCUAACUCCGUACUGCUAGUACAUUAUAUAUGUGCAAAGCCUGAAAAACUUAGAGACAAGAUAGUAAAUGCCAAAACGAAAGCAGGCUCGGUAAAAAAUGGGCAGGCAUCAUGCAGCAAAAGAAUGAAAAGGCUUCUUACUUCAUUAAACAUGUUCAUGGUAGAAAUGUCAUCCCUCGAAAAACCAUCAUUAACAGCUUCCCAGAAAUCAUCACUGUCGAUAUUCAGUUGACCAUCAUCAGCUUCCUGAUUAGCUGUGCCUUGUGAUUGCGCAGAGAGGAUGCCACCUGCACCACCAUCAUUCAACAUCUGAGUUGACGUGACAGAAAUACCCAUCUGAGGGUCAGGCAUUGCAGCACCGAUGCUUGAAGCACUACCAAGUGCGAAGUUACCAUUCAGCAUCUCCACUGAGCUUGUGUUGUUGUUGAUUGCGAAGUUACCAUUCGACAUCUCCAUCGAGCUUGUGUUGUUGUUGAUUGCAAAGUUACCAUUCGACAUCUCCACCGAGCUCAUGAUGUUGUUGAUUGCGAAGUUACCAUUCGGCAUCUCCCCCGAGCUCAUGUUGUUGUUGAUUAAGAAGUUACCAUUCGGCAUCUUCACCGAGCUCAUGUUGAUUGCCAAAUGACCGUUCAGCAUCUCCACCGAGCUUAUGUUGUUGUUGAUUGAUAAAUCCUGCAGUCAGAAAACAAGUUUAGUUAGAUGCAACCUUAUCUAACUCCGUACUGCUAGUACAUUUGCAUAUGUGCAAAGCCUGAAAAACUUAGAGACAAGAUAGUAAAUGCCAAAACGAAAGCAGGCUGGGUAAAAAUGGGCAGGCAUCAUGCAGGAAAAGAAAGGGAAAGCUUCUUACCUCAUUAAGCAUGUUGAUCGUGGUAAGAAUGUCAUCCAUUGAAAAACUAUCAACAACAGCUUCCAAGAAAUCAUCACUGUCGAUAUUCAGUUGACCAUCAACAGCUUCCUGAUCAGCUGUGCCUUGUGCUUGCGCAGGGAGAACGCCGCCUGCACCACCAUCAUUCAGCAUCUGAGUUGGCGCGGCAGAAAUGCCCAUCUGAAGGUCAGGCAUUGCAGCACGGAUGCUUGAAGCGCUACCAAGUGCGAAGUCACCAUUCGGCAUCUCCACCAAGCUUGUGCCGCCAUCCAUUGCGAGGUAACCAUUCAGCAUCUCUACCCAGCCUGUGUUGUCGUUGAUUGCGAGGUCACCAUUCAACAUCUCUACCGAGCUUGUGUUGCCGUCGAUUGCGAAGUCACCAUUCAACACCUGUACUGAGCUUGUGCUGUUGUUGAUGGCUACACCGGCGUCGAACGACGACGCCAUCUCCUCACCGGAACCUGCCAUCGAUGUUGUGCCGUUUACGAAAGCUGCUAUUUGGUUCUUCAGGUUGUCGAGACUCAUCGGUGUUUGGCCAGCUAUCCGGCCAGCUGGUGAGGCUGCAAGGCCUGUGAGCUGGUUGAUGUUGGGGAUGUUCCAAUAGUCACGGCUAAGAUCAGGAUACUUCACAGCUGCUUGCCAGGAGUUGCCUAGGCGGUUCCCGGCGUCUCCAUACGGACUCCUCUGAACCGGAGGCUGGAACCCCAGUAGGCGAGAUGGCCGCACUGAAAACUGAUUCACCGGCAAAGAGGUCCCACCAUUGUGUCUAUUUCCGUCCGCAAGGGAGCUGCCACUACCCUGAAAGCCUCUGUUUGCCCCCAGUAGAUUGCCACGCAGCAUGCCCAUGUAGGAUGACUCGCCGCGGGAAUGGCUGGAACCAAAUUCGUCCCACGCCCCUGUGCCAUUUGUCCUGUUUGCAUAUGCGCUGGAGGAAGAGGGCCGCUGUCUCGAACCCGGCAGCAGCCACGGCAACCAAGGCCUGAAGAGCAUGCUGCCACCAUGGACACCGGCACCACGCGCUCUGAACGCGGACGGAUGAUCCAUCCUUGUGGGGAGACUGGCAAGGUUCCAAGAGGCAGGGUUUGUGGACGGCCGAUAUAUCCCAUGUCCAUGGAAAUACUUGAUACCUUCUCCCCAGCUUUCAGCAACAAGCAAAUUGCGCCUCUCGUCUGCCCCGUCCUCGGUCCUUGCGAGAUGCAUCCUGUACUUCUGAAAUCAAAAGAUAGGCGAUCACAUAGAUGAGAGGCGCAUCAUGGAUAUUUUUACAUUUUGUUUUUGAUUGUUCUAAAGACGUAUAUAUGGAGAACAAAUCAAAGGAACUGAAGUGCUGCAUGGCUCCUAAAACUCUAGAAAUCAUAGGCAUGCAUUAUAUCCGACGUGUCACAUUUUCACAGAAGAAUAAUUACAAGGUAACUAAGACAAAAGAAAAGGAAACAAGCCUAUCCAGUUCCAGUUUUUGGGCAGCACUAUGAGAUAUGAACACAACCCAGCAACAUGGCAAAUAUGACAUAGUACGAGAUAGGAAUUCAAUGCAUACAAAAGUCAGGUAUAAUUAAGGUGGUGGAUGUGUUUCUGUAUUUUGUAUCAGCUUGAUGCAUCAAUAUACUGCCUAUCAUUUAUAAAAAAAGUAUACACGAGGGGUAGAAAGUAAACCUGCAGAUGACUCCCAACACUCUCUCUGGAGACGUUAUCCACAUUCAUGGCGGCCAGUAUCUUCGAUGGA
rnacentral:lncRNA from 1 species